UAGGGAUUGCAGCGGCAUCCUUUUUGCUUUUUCUGCAAAAAGGUAUAGCGGAAAGCCCGACCUUUA
rnacentral:sRNA from 1 species